rnacentral:tRNA from 1 species
GCGGUGGUGGAGCAACGGUAGCUCACUAGCCUCAUAAGCUAGAGACGACGUUCGAAUCGUCCGACCGCA